ensembl:lncRNA
AACCACUCAGCUAAAUCCCCAGCCCUUUUUUUUUUUUGGUACCAGGGAUCAGGGAUCAGACUCAGGACCUUGCGCUUUUGAGGCAGGUGCCAGAACCCCUGAGCUAAAUCCCCAGCCCAAAUCAGACUUUUUGACAUGAAAUAUUUUCUAAUGGGGACUCUCUCCUUUGUGUUUCUCAUGUGUAUCAGAACAAUCACUUACCUGCCAAAAAGAAAUGGAGUGUGGUACAAGAAAAGGCAGAGACAAAGCUAGUUGUCUGGGCUUCCCCAGGCAAGCCAAGGCCUCUCUAACCCUGGCUGUGGAGACCUGCUCCUUACACAUUUCCCUAAGGGCUGAAGAGAUCUUUCCCCAAAGCACAACCUAAGGAAUACCCAGUUAAAGCCAUGAACAAACAUUAGCAAAGUAAUUUUUUAAAGGUUCAAAGAGACAGAAUCUCACAGAAUUAGUAGGAAACAAGUGUAGCUGAUAUUGUAAUUGGGCAUGCAAGCUAUAACAACAUAAGUAUCAAUUUUUUGAUUCUUUAUUUAUAGACAAUAUAAUGAAAAUAAAAGUCUUUGUUGUCCUGAAUGGACCUGAUUCAAAUAAGCCUUUCUUUUCACUGUAUCCUGCAAUACUGUUUCAUCUCUGAUACUAACCACCCAGAGAAUGCAUAGAGUCCACAAAGUCUCUAUGCAGACACCAGCUGCAGGUUGAGGGGCCCACAGGCCACCAGCACUUCUGACCAACUGGCUACAAAUUCAGGGAUUCCCAUGAGUCCUUCAGGUUUGAUAACUCACUAGAAUGACUCAGAGAACUUAGAGAUCAAGAAUAAUUGUCAUAAAGGACACAAAUCAAGAAGAGCCAAAUAGAGAGACCUACAGGGAUGGGUCUGGGAGGAUCCCAGGCACAGAGGUUCCUGGUCCUGUCCUGGAUAUUGGGGUAUAUCACCUCCUCAGCAUAUUGAUGUGAUCAAAGAAGGAAAGUUCACCUAAGAAGCCUUAGUUUUGAGAUAUUUUAUUAGGGUUUCAUUACAUAAGCACAGUUGAUUAAAUUAUUGACCAUGUGAUACUUUAUUUUAGUCAGCUUUCCAUUACUAUAACAAAUACCUAAGGUAAAUCAAUUUAAUAAGAGAAAAGUUUAUUUGGCUCACAGUUUUGUAGGUUUCAGUCCAUAGUCAGCUGGCCUUGUUUCUUUGCACCUAUGGGGAGGCAAGAGGUCAUGGGGGAAUGUGUGGUGGAGGAACAACUCACCUCAUGGAAGUCAGGAAGCAAAGAGACAAAGGAAGGGCCCAGGGUCCCAAAAUACCCUUUAAAGGCACAUCCCCACUGACCCAACUUCCUCUCAUUAUGUCCCACAUCUUAAAUGUUCUACCACCUCCCUAGAGCGCCUCAGACUUGCGACCCAGCCUUUAACAUAUGGGAUCCUGGGGAAUACUUAUCUUAUGGUUGAACUUGAUCUCUGUCUUCUUUCUCCUCCCUAGAAAUUUGAAGUCAAGGGGUCAAGCUGAUAACACUUUGCUCAAAGCCCAACCCUCUAAUUAUGUGCAUGGGCAUUGCUACCACUCAGGGAGUUUCAAGGAUUCAGAGGCCCUUGGGAAGCAAAAACAAAAAUCAUACUUUUUAUUUUUUUUAACCAAUAUAAGUCUGCCAGGACAAUUCUCCCUGAAAAAGCAAGUAUCAUAUGGAUUUUCCCCCAAUUGAGAAUAAAUGAAUUGUUGGGAAGAGAAUUUUGGGCUAAAGGUCAGUAUGAAAGAAGUCUUAAGAAAAAGAAGAAAGAUGGUAGGGAGAAGGAAAGAUUAUGUAGUAAUAGUAAUAUAAAACAAAUGAUUAAUUAAAAGAUGCAAAUUCGGGGCUGGGGGUUUAGCU